AAAAUUGGUCAAUCACAAUUGGAAGUUGAACCUCAGAGACUUGAAUAUUUGAGAACAACACUCCUUGUACAGAGCCUGAUCCACCCUGCAAGCUCAUAAGAGCUAAUUUGACUUGACAGAUAGUUAAAGACUUAAAGCUUUAAAGGAGAUGAUGAAUGAUAUGAUUACCUGCCAAGUCUUAAUUCUGACACCCGUCAUUGUAUUGUGGAUAUUAACAUCUCGAAUUGUGAUGUUGGAAACACAGGCUUUUGUAUUAUCCCUUCCCAGACUUCCGAUGCUGAUGCCAUGUCCUGGCCCACAAUUCACGUUAUGACUUGUCAGGUUAAACAUAAAGAAGUGGACAAAUGGAGAGUGAGGGGGUGGUAGCUGUUUUAGUUGCUGAUGGGGACAAAAGUAAACCUGAGGAGUGCAGCGAAAGAUGUCUUUGGGGCCAAUCUAAUCCCAAUGAUGAUAUAGUGUAUGACAUAUGUCAUAUGAUUGAUGGCUAUUGCAUUCAAAAUGUCAGAGACUGUUGGCUGCUACGUGUCAAAGAACUAGUGGUUGCUGAAGGUUUGAGGACACUGCUUACUUGAAAGAUAAGGUUAAGCCUUAUUUUAUUUCAAUCCUAAACCAGGUACCUAAAAGUCUUGUUCUUCUUAAUGUUGUAAAUGACGUUAAUAAUCGGUCAGUAAUAGUAUAAUUACCGCAAGCUAGAUUACUGCUGUGAAUUAGCACAUCUUUGGAGUUCUGUAGGUGGAUUCCAUCUGUAUUAGGACUAUCACCAGGUGAUGAGAUGGUUAUAUCAUGUACAACGACUCCCAUGCAGUUGUCAAACUUGAGGUGACAUUGAGGACUGUUUCGAAUUGUAAUGCCUGUGACUGUUGCAUUGAAACUUCCAUAAAAUCGUAGUGCCUGUUUAAAGAAAGUGUGUCAAUCAUGUUACCGACUUAUGCAGAUAAAUGGUCGUGAUCUAUAAUAAAAGUAUUCAUUGUCGUCUAGUGGGUCUUACCGUGGGCUUGAUGCUUGGCAUUUUCUUGCUGAGUUCACUUCUUACCUACCACACAAUUUGGAAAAGAAUCAGAUGUGGAUAACUAGGAAUUCUCAACAGUUGGAAUAAAAACUGAAGUAUGGACCAGAAAAGGAAACAGGUCCCACGAGGAAUAUGUAUUCUGCUGGAACGAGCAUCGUCGAUGCCUCCACCUUACAAGCAGCGGCCCAAGCGGCUUGAAAUGCCUGCGAUGCACCAUAAUACACACCAUUCAUUAUUAGGGUGUCAUUCUACAAAAACUCGGACAUGUAACGACCAUAACUGAAUUUGCUUCAAUUCGGACUCAUGGCAAUGCGCUAUCCAAGAUAAGUGAAGUACAUUACCAAAUUCACUUUUAAAACAUUUGAAGUUCUGUAUAUAUCAGAAUUAUAGACUAACCUUCGUAUCAUCCUGCUUUCCGUCACCUUUGGCGCCAAAAUCAAGUACGUUAAAACUCGAAGAGCCUUUAAUUGGUGUCUGUGAAGGAGGUGCGUCUUCUUUAGGUGGUGAAACCGGAACAGGAGGCGACGGAACAGCUUUACGAGAGGGAGGUUUCGGUUUUGAUCCUCCAUUAUGGUGGUGGUGGUUUUUCGCCUUUUUCUUAUACAACGAACCGGCUGUACCUCUACUUUGGUGCCUCCAAUGCCUGCCUCUUCUUGCAAUGCAACUCUCAAAAUUGGAUGACCAAACUAGAAAGGCAAUGAAGAACAUAAAUGUAAGGCUUUUUAAACUCAAACCACUCAUUUUUAUUUUUCUUCUGUUGUGUGUGCUUGAGAGAAAUAAAACAGAUUCUUGAGACUGCCCAAGAAAUAAAUGAGACUUGUAGGUUUUAUAUAGGAAGAGCAGUCCAAAGCUUAUGAAAAAACUAUUUCACAUAUAAACAAAAACUCAACUUAAUUAAUUAAUUAUGGAUGUUUAUGAUUAAUAUACUAAAGGUAUUUAAUUAA